UACGGCUACAUCACAUUGAACACCGGUUUCCGUAUGACCACCGAAGUUAAGCAACGUCGAGCCAGGUAAAAACCUAGAUAGUUGACAGCUUGGGAACACCAGGUGGUGUGU